rfam:Trichoplax adhaerens isolate Grell Red Sea mitochondrion, complete genome.
GUCCCUAUAGUCUAAUGGUAGGACGAUUGGUUUUCAUUCAGCUGGUAGGAGUUCAAUUCUCCUUAGGGGGA